GAGAGUUUGAUCCUGGCUCAGGACGAACGCUGGCGGCGAGCCAAACACAUGCAAGUCGAGCGAAUGAAGUUCCUUCGGGAAUGGAUUUAGCGGCGGACGGGUGAGUAACACGUGGGCUUCCUGCCUCAUAGAGGGGAAUAGCCUUCCGAAAGGGAGAUUAAUACCGCAUAAGAUUGUAGUACCGCAUGGUACAGCAAUUAAAGCUGCAAUCCGCUAUGAGAUGGGCCCGCGGCGCAUUAGCUAGUUGGUGAGGUAACGGCUCACCAAGGCGACGAUGCGUAGCCCUCCUGCGAGGGUGAUCGGCCACAUUGGGACUGAGACACGGCCCAGAGAGCUACGGGAGCGUCGAGUGGGGAAUAUUGGUCAAUGGGGGUUUCCCUGAUGCAGCAACGCCGCGUGAGUGAUGUGGGCCUUGCGGUUGUAAAGCAGACACUUCUGGGACCUAAAUGACGGUACCUGAGGAGGAAGCCACGGCUAACUACGUGCCAGCAGCCGCGGUAAUACGUAGGUGGCCAGCGUUGUGGGGAUUUACUGGGCGUAAAGGGAGCGUAGGCGGAUUUUUAAGUGAGAACAGAAAAUCUGGGGCUUAACCUGUGUGCUGCAUUUCAAACUGGAAGUCUAGAGUGCAGGACUGGAGAAGGGAAUUCCUAGUGUUCCCCAGAAAUGCGUAGACUUUAGGAAGAACACCAGUGGCGAAGGCGCUUCUCUGGACUGUAACUGACGCUGUCGCUCGAAAGCGUGGGGAGCAAACACCAUUAGAUACCCUGGUAGUCCACGCCGUAAACGAUGAAUACUAGGUGUAGGGGUUGUCAUGACCUCUGUGCCGCCGCUAACGGAUUAAGUAUUCCCGCUGGGGAGUACGGUCGCAAGAUUAAAACUCAAAGGAAUUGACGGGGGCCCGCACAAGCAGCGGACGAUGUGGUUUAAUUCGAAGCAACGCGAAGAACCUUACCUAGACUUGACAUCUCCUCGAUUACUCUUAAUCGAGGAAGACCCUUCGGGGACAGGAUCACUGGACCUGCAUGGUUGUCGUCAGCUCGUGUCGUGAGAUGUUGGGUUAAGUCCCGCAACGUGCGCAACCCUUAUUGUUAGUUGCCAUGUUUAAGUUGGGCACUCUAGCGAGACUGCCCGGGUUAUGCGGGAGGAAGGAGGGGAUGACGUCAAAUCUAGAUGCCCCUUAUGUCUAGGGCUAGUCACGUGCUACAAUGGUCCCUACAAUAAGACGCAAGCCCGCGAGGGGGAGCAAAACUGGAAAACCGAUCUCAGUUCGGGUUGUAGGCUGAAACUCGCCAUCAUGAAGCUGGAGUUGCUAGAAAUCGCGAAUCAGCAUGUCGCGGUGAAUACGUUCCCGGGCCUUGUACACACCGCCCGU
rnacentral:rRNA from 1 species